rnacentral:rRNA from 1 species
AGAGUUUGAUCAUGGCUCAGAUUGAACGCUGGCGGCAGGCCUAACACAUGCAAGUCGAGCGGUAGCACAGAGAGCUUGCUCUCGGGUGACGAGCGGCGGACGGGUGAGUAAUGUCUGGGAAACUGCCUGAUGGAGGGGGAUAACUACUGGAAACGGUAGCUAAUACCGCAUAAUGUCGCAAGACCAAAGUGGGGGACCUUCGGGCCUCAUGCCAUCAGAUGUGCCCAGAUGGGAUUAGCUAGUAGGUGGGGUAACGGCUCACCUAGGCGACGAUCCCUAGCUGGUCUGAGAGGAUGACCAGCCACACUGGAACUGAGACACGGUCCAGACUCCUACGGGAGGCAGCAGUGGGGAAUAUUGCACAAUGGGCGCAAGCCUGAUGCAGCCAUGCCGCGUGUGUGAAGAAGGCCUUCGGGUUGUAAAGCACUUUCAGCGGGGAGGAAGGCGAUAAGGUUAAUAACCUCAGCGAUUGACGUUACCCGCAGAAGAAGCACCGGCUAACUCCGUGCCAGCAGCCGCGGUAAUACGGAGGGUGCAAGCGUUAAUCGGAAUUACUGGGCGUAAAGCGCACGCAGGCGGUCUGUCAAGUCGGAUGUGAAAUCCCCGGGCUCAACCUGGGAACUGCAUUCGAAACUGGCAGGCUAGAGUCUUGUAGAGGGGGGUAGAAUUCCAGGUGUAGCGGUGAAAUGCGUAGAGAUCUGGAGGAAUACCGGUGGCGAAGGCGGCCCCCUGGACAAAGACUGACGCUCAGGUGCGAAAGCGUGGGGAGCAAACAGGAUUAGAUACCCUGGUAGUCCACGCCGUAAACGAUGUCGAUUUGGAGGUUGUGCCCUUGAGGCGUGGCUUCCGGAGCUAACGCGUUAAAUCGACCGCCUGGGGAGUACGGCCGCAAGGUUAAAACUCAAAUGAAUUGACGGGGGCCCGCACAAGCGGUGGAGCAUGUGGUUUAAUUCGAUGCAACGCGAAGAACCUUACCUGGUCUUGACAUCCACAGAACUUUCCAGAGAUGGAUUGGUGCCUUCGGGAACUGUGAGACAGGUGCUGCAUGGCUGUCGUCAGCUCGUGUUGUGAAAUGUUGGGUUAAGUCCCGCAACGAGCGCAACCCUUAUCCUUUGUUGCCAGCGGUCCGGCCGGGAACUCAAAGGAGACUGCCAGUGAUAAACUGGAGGAAGGUGGGGAUGACGUCAAGUCAUCAUGGCCCUUACGACCAGGGCUACACACGUGCUACAAUGGCAUAUACAAAGAGAAGCGACCUCGCGAGAGCAAGCGGACCUCAUAAAGUAUGUCGUAGUCCGGAUUGGAGUCUGCAACUCGACUCCAUGAAGUCGGAAUCGCUAGUAAUCGUAGAUCAGAAUGCUACGGUGAAUACGUUCCCGGGCCUUGUACACACCGCCCGUCACACCAUGGGAGUGGGUUGCAAAAGAAGUAGGUAGCUUAACCUUCGGGAGGGCGCUUACCACUUUGUGAUUCAUGACUGGGGUGAAGUCGUAACAAGGUAACCGUAGGGGAACCUGCGGUUGGAUCACCU